rnacentral:tRNA from 1 species
CUGGGUGUGGCUCAGUGGGAGAGCGUGUGCUUAGCGUGUGUGAGGCCCUGGGUUCCAGGCCAGCACCCAAA